GAGACUCUAGUAAAUAAAUUACAUAGCUCUGUCAGCGCUAAAUUAUAGGCACACCCCCUUUGAGACUCA
rnacentral:tRNA from 1 species